rnacentral:rRNA from 1 species
AUACGGAGGGUGCAAGCGUUACUCGGAAUCACUGGGCGUAAAGCGCGCGCAGGCGGGCUGAUAAGUUGGAUGUGAAAGCCUACGGCUCAACCGUAGAACUGCAUCCAAAACUGUCAGUCUAGAGUGUGGGAGGGGAAGAUGGAAUUAGUUGUGUAGGGGUAAAAUCCGUAGAGAUAACUAGGAAUACCAAAAGCGAAGGCAAUCUUCUGGAACACUUCUGACGCUGAGGCGCGAAGGCGUGGGGAGCAAACAGGAUUAGAAACCCGUGUAGUCC